CAUGUUUGUUGUUAUGGCUGUUUCUACUUCUGUUCAGAAGGCAACCCAGCUGAUAGAUAGAGUUUCAGUGACAUGAAGAGUGUGACGUGAAAAUGCCGUGUGUAUGCAUACAUGUUCCAGUUCUGUUUGAUGCCUUACUAAAUUCAUCACCCAUAUGAUAAAGCAUCAGGAAAUCUCAACAUGGGGAGUAGUAAUGCUGUUGGUUGCUCUGAUUCCAUUUUUAC